rnacentral:rRNA from 1 species
CCUACGGGAGGCAGCAGUGGGGAAUAUUCCGCAAUGGACGAAAGUCUGACGGAGCAACGCCGCGUGAGUGAAGAAGGCCUUCGGGUCGUAAAGCGCUGUCCUCAGGGAAGAAUGGCCUUAACAGGAAAUGGUUAAGGAGGAGACGGUACCUGGGGAGGAAGCCCUGGCUAACUACGUGCCAGCAGCCGCGGUAACACGUAGAGGGCAAGCGUUGUCCGGAAUUACUGGGCGUAAAGGGUACGCAGGUGGGAGGAAAAGUCAAGUGUGAAAGGCAUCGGCUUAACCGAUACAGUGCAAUUGAAACUAUCCUUCUUGAGGGCAGGAGAGGAGAGCGGAAUUCCUGGUGUAGCGGUGGAAUGCGUAGAUAUCAGGAAGAACACCGGUGGCGAAGGCGGCUCUCUGGCCUGCAACUGACGCUGAGGUACGAAAGCUGGGGGAGCAAACGGGAUUAGAUACCCCGGUAGUCCCAGCUGUAAACGAUGGACACUAGGUGUUGGUGGUUCGAAUCCAUCAGUGCCGGAGUUAACGCGAUAAGUGACCCGCCUGGGGAGUACGGUCGCAAGACUGAAACUCAAAGGAAUUGACGGA